AGGGAAACCACUGUUCAAAGGAAAUGACCACCUGGAUCAGCUGAUGGAGAUCAUGAAAAUUACAGGGACGCCCGCAAAAGAGUUCACAGCCAAACUACAGUCUGAAGAUGCUAGAAACUACAUAGCAAAGUUACCAAAACUUAAAAAGAAAGAUCUUCGGACAUUGUUACCAAAUGUUAACCCACAAGG